UCUGUCACAGGACUUGAAUGAAAUCUUUCUGGUGCCCCAGGCCAGUCUUCUUUGUUUUGGAGGCAAAUAAGUGACAUGCCCAGGAUCCAUCAGCUGUUUAUGGGGGCUCAGCCCAAGAUCUGUGGCUUCCCAGAGAGAUGGCUGGAAUCUCGAUUCCAGGCAGGCGCCAGGUUGGGUUUUCUCUGACUAACCUUGUGAUCAAAUUCUCAGCCUCCCUCUCGGCAGGCACACAAGUCUUCAAAAAGGAAGCCCAGGGUCCACACACUCUGCCUCCUGGGCCGAGGCAAAUGGCGCCCAUACGUGGGGCCCGGAAGAUUUUGGAGAAAGGAGUAGCAUUGCUAGAUCGAACCUCUCAAUAAGAAGACUAGGCAGUCCCGGAGAAUUUAGAGAAUAAGGUCGCCACGGGUCCACCUGCCCCGAGGAACAGAGACCUGGUUGUGGUAUUGGCUUGCUUUUGGAACCUUGAUCAGCUUUGGCAUACCCAGUCUGCAUAGAAUGAGAGCCUCCUAUCACUUCACAGCCUGAAGCAGUAGUUUUUAAAAUGAGACCAUGGACUGGACCCUGCAUCUACUGUACUUUGGACUGAUGAGGGACUUUGGGAAUGUUUGAUGACUGACUGUUGAAUCUUUCCUGGAUCACUCUGUGUUUAAGAUUUGGGAUGGGAUUUGUUAAAACUGUAAUUAUUGCUGUUAUGUUUGAGGGAUUUUUAGGAAA